rnacentral:rRNA from 1 species
AUAAUGGGUCAGCGACUUAUAUUCUGUAGCAAGGUUAACCGAAUAGGGGAGCCGAAGGGAAACCGAGUCUUAACUGGGCGUUAAGUUGCAGGGUAUAGACCCGAAACCCGGUGAUCUAGCCAUGGGCAGGUUGAAGGUUGGGUAACACUAACUGGAGGACCGAACCGACUAAUGUUGAAAAAUUAGCGGAUGACUUGUGGCUGGGGGUGAAAGGCCAAUCAAACCGGGAGAUAGCUGGUUCUCCCCG